rnacentral:misc_RNA from 1 species
GAUGAAGAACGUAGCGAAAUGCGAUAAGUAAUGUGAAUUGCAGAAUUGCAGAAUUCAGUGAAUCAUCGAAUCUUUGAACGCACCUUCGCUCCUUGGUAUUCCGAGGAGCAUGCCUGUUUGAGUGUCAUUAAAUUCUCAACCUCACCAGUUUUCUGAACUGUUCUUCGAGGCUUGGAUGUGGGGGUUUGUGCAGGCUGCCUCACGGCGGUCCGCUCCCCUGAAAUGCAUUAGCGAGUUCAUACUGAACUUCCGUCUAUUGGUGUGAUAAUUAUCUACGCCGUGGACGAGGAUCAGACUCGCUUCUAACCGUCCGCGAGGACAAUACCUUGACAAUUUGACCUCAAAUCAGGUAGGACUACCCGCUGAACUUAAGCAUAUCAAUAAGCGGAGGA